UUUUGAAUCUGGCUCCUUUCGGGGUCCGAGUUGUAAUUUGUAGAGGAUGCUUCGGGUGCGGCACCGGUCUAAGUCCCUUGGAACAGGGCGUCAUAGAGGGUGAGGAUCCCGUAUGUGACCGGCGACCAAGCCCAUGUGAAGCUCCUUCGACGAGUCGAGUUGUUUGGGAAUGCAGCUCAAARUGGGUGGUAAAUUUCAUCUAAAGCUAAAUACCGGCCAGAGACCGAUAGCGCACAAGUAGAGUGAUCGAAAGAUGAAAAGCACUUUGGAAAGAGAGUCAAAAAGUACGUGAAAUUGUUGAAAGGGAAGCGCUUGUAACCAGACCUGCCGUCGGGUGUUCCGCGGGCAUUCUUGCCCGUCUACUCUCCCGCGAUCAGGCCAGCAUCGGUUUGGGCGGCCGGAUAAARACUGGAGGAAUGUAGCUUCGCUUCGGGGAAGUGUUAUAGCCUCUUGUGCAAUACGGCCAGCCGGGACCGAGGACCGCGCUUCGGCUAGGAUGCUGGCGUAAUGGUUGCAAGCGACCCGUCUUGAAACACGGACCAAGGAGUCUAACAUCUAUGCGAGUGUUUGGGUGUCAAACCCAUGCGCGGAAUGAAAGUGAACGGAGGUGGGAACCCUUGAGGGCGCACCAUCGACCGAUCCGGAAGUUUACGGAUGGAUUUGAGUACGAGCAUAGCUGUUGGGACCCGAAAGGUAAGAUGGAUCCGGGUUCCUGUUCGGUGAACCUAUGCUAACAUGUAUGCCAGAUGGUGAACUAUGCCUGAAUAGGGUGAAGCCAGAGGAAACUCUGGUGGAGGCUCGCAGCGGUUCUGACGUGCAAAUCGAUCGUCAAAUWUGGGUAUAGGGGUAUGCAAAAAGUGCCUCCUUUUUUAUUGGUCAACGGUACUAACAUGUACCACAGGCGAAAGACUAAUCGAACCAUCUAGUAGCUGGUUCCUGCCGAAGUUUCCCUCAGAUAGCAGUAACGUUUUCAGUUUUAUGAGUAAAGCGAUGAUUAGAGGCCUUGGGGAUGAAACAUCUUACUAUCUCAACUUUCAUAUGUAGAGUCUGUACUAGUGACGUGACAUUGAUGCACGUACUAGUGGCAUUUUUGUAGCGACUG
rnacentral:rRNA from 1 species